GGCCUGGUGGCGAAAUGGUAUCGCGUCAGAUUUCGGUCACGGAAUCAUUACCUCUGAAGAUUGCGGGUUCGAGUCCCGUCUGGGUCG
rfam:Gaeumannomyces graminis var. tritici R3-111a-1 unplaced genomic scaffold supercont2.5, whole genome shotgun sequence.